UACGGAGGGGACUAGCGUUGUUCGGAAUUACUGGGCGUAAAAGCGCACGUAGGCGGAUUUGUAAGUCAGGGGUGAAAUCCCGGGGCUCAACCUCGGAACUGCCUUUGAUACUGCAAAUCUCGAGUCCGGAAGAGGUGAGUGGAAUUCCUAGUGUAGAGGUGGAAUUCGUAGAUAUUAGGAAGAACACCAGUGGCGAAGGCGGCUCACUGGUCCGGUACUGACGCUGAGGUGCGAAAGCGUGGGGAGCAAACAGGG
rnacentral:rRNA from 1 species